GCGGCCUUACUCAAGUGGUUGAAGAGAACGGUCUUGAAAACCGUUAGGUCGGUAAACCCGAUGCCAGAGUUCGAAUCUCUGAGACCGCG
rnacentral:tRNA from 1 species